rnacentral:tRNA from 1 species
GGCCUAAUGGUCUAGUCGUAUGAUUGUUGCUUCGGGUCAAACCCACUUGCAAAAGCAAGUGCCAAAUGUGACAGGUCCCGGGUUCAAAUCCCGGUUGGGCCC